UACGUGGGGGGCAAGCGUUGUCCGGAAUCAUUGGGCGUAAAGAGCGUGUAGGCGGCCCGAUAAGUCUGCCGUGAAAGUCCAGGGCUCAACCCUGGGAUGCCGGUGGAAACUGUCGGGCUAGAGUCCGGAAGAGGCGAGUGGAAUUCCUGGUGUAGCGGUGAAAUGCGCAGAUAUCAGGAGGAACACCAACGGCGAAGGCAGCUCGCUGGGACGGUACUGACGCUGAGACGCGAAAGCGUGGGGAGCAAACAGG
rnacentral:rRNA from 1 species